UGGAGGAACAACUGCAGUGGCCGCGGCAGCUCUGCAGCCCUGGAGUCAGCCCCCGCAGUAGCUCCGGAGCUCUCCGUCUGCAGGGCCUGGAGGCUCCGGGCGGGG
rnacentral:pre_miRNA from 1 species